UGGAGACACAAGGGAUGAGAUAUCAAAGCAGAAUAUUACUACUAAGUCUGUUUUAAUUUCAUUUCUAUUUAAGAAAAAAGAAACAAACAAAGCAAAAUAACAACAACAAAAAAACCCAAAACCAAACCAAACCAAAACAAAAACCAAGAAAAAACCCCCAAACCACUAACCACCUUACAUAUGACAAGAAUCCUCAAGUUUAAGGACCCACUACAGAACCCUACUGCAGCACAGCUCUCUCUUGUCCAUUUCACUGGAACCCUGAAAACAUCAAGUGCAUUUCGUAAAACCUUAUCACCUACAAAUGUGUUUACAGGCAACUGUCAAUUUUUAUUAAGGAGUACAGUUCUGACAAUGGUAAGGAAAAGCUAGAAAACACAAAUUCUAAAAGCUCAAAAUUAAGCAAAAUAAAAACAAAUGAAUCAUCUCAUCUUUGUAACCUGAUGAUUUUUGUGGAACUCAGCUACUGUAAUGACAUAGGUCUUAUGGAUGUUAAAAGAAAUUUAUUUUAAAAGGAUAGCUAAAAGGGCUAAACAUUUGCAGACAGUAUGAAGACUGAAGUCAGAGCAAACGUUCAGAGUCAACAAAUUCUACAAAAGCCCCCAAAUCCAACAAACUCACAAGAUUAAAUAUGUUUUUACUUCUAAUAAUCUACUGUAAUUUUCAUAAUUAAGUUUGCCAACAGCUUACCUUCUCUGCUUUGCAACAUAACCAUAAAAAAUAAGAUAGUUUGCAGUUAACAUAAAAUUUUUGCUAAGUCAUACCAGAAGCCAACUGGGAAGAGUUACAAAAGGAUCUCAUAAUAAUGAGUACACUGGAUGGUAAAAUGACAUCAGUGUAACAUAAUGAUAGGCAAAAAUAAUGCAGAUGAGGGGAAAAACAGACAAGCAACGAAUAGUAUAUACACAACACUAGGUUCAAACAAGACACUGCUACAGAGGAAAGAUCAUAUGGACAUUACAGGCAAUUCGAUGAAGACUUCUGCCAAAUACUCAGCAGUUAAUGGAAUGUAAAGCAAGCAAAACAUUUGGCACUAUCAAAGGAAAACAGAAAAGAAUUACACUACUGUGUAUAGUCAUGGAGCAUGUAACUCUGGAAUGAUAAAAGAGUAAGAGAACAGCAAUAGCACCAUCAGCACUACGGAAAGGCUUACAUAUACAAAGAGGCAACAGUGAGGCUUUUGACAACAGAAAGAAUAUGAAAUUCAUACAGACUGAUUACAAGGACCACUAAAUUUUGACUAGGACGUGGGGGCCACUCAGUGUUUUACCAGUGGGAAAGCCACACAAAAGACAGCUACCUCUGCAUACAGCAAACUGCACAAGGGUGAAGUUAAAUGGCAGGUGACGUGCUGAAGGUCAAAAACGCGAACAAGUUAAAAAAUAACUUUUCGGCUUAAAAAUCAGAUUAUUUAAAUAGUCACCAGAAUCAACACUGGCUACUAUGGUCGAGAAGGAAAGCCCUCCUCAGUAAGCCUCUCACCCCUGGUGACUUGAGCCAUGUGCCAGUCAAGACACACACUGCUGUCCUCAGCUUACCCUUCUGCCUUCUCCACCUCAGGAUGGUAGCUCCUUAAAAGCAGUGCAGUUCUGCAACCAAAGAUGGCUACAGGUCCAUAGGGGCACACUGAUCGUCAAGCCCUCCUGUGAGAAACUCAACACCUUCAUCUCCUGUUUCAAACAAACUGAUUUCACAGGUGGCAGACUCAUCCUAUCUAGCUUCGAACAGUUAAAUGCAUCACUAGCGACCAAAAAGCAUGAUCUCCUUCACCGUCCUCGUGCCAUUAGGGAGACAGGCACCUCCAGAUGAUGAUACUCAGAACAUGAAGGCACUGGCUUUAUCUCCUGGGGCCAUCAUGAAGCCAUCUAGUCUGACCUAACUGGACGGACAUAUGCCCCACUGCCACCCAAGGACUGGCAGGUAACACCAGCGACUGUGCCACCUGCUCUGCAUUCCAGAGGAAUAAUUUACCAACUUGGGAAGGCAAACAAACCCUUGCAGAAACACAUUUAUUCUCAGGCCUUAUUCCUUCGUCUUUUUGUUGUGUCCUCCUCUCCAAGAGACUAGGGAAAGAAGUUGGGACAGAACAAGAGUGGAAAACCAGAGAGAUGAAAGGGACUGCACCCCUAAUGCCCCAUGGAAGUGUCCAAAGACUUCCAGCUCCACGGGCAAGGUCCAGGUUCUGUUUUGCUGCUAAGACAAAGACCUGGAAAGGACAGGGGAAACACUUAGCUAAACUACAAUAUGAAAAACUCUUCCAGCUUUCCUUCAAGACCACAAGGAAUCACAGUGCAGUCAAAAAUGCCCAUACUUUUACAACAGGUGCAAAUCUCAGAAAAUGUUCUGCAGUGAGUGCCCGUCUCCUUCAGCCAUCCGUCCGCAUGCGGCUGGAAAGGCACCAGCCCCACAGUGCGACUGAGCAUGUAAUGGGCUCAAGUUACAGGAGAUUAGCAGGAUUUCCCCUGUAACUGCUGCUCCCAUCUGCCAGAGACCAGACAUUGGAGCUGACAGCAGGAAGACAAUCUCGCCUGUUGCUCUCAUGACCCUUCGGCUGGUGCCCCAGGGACAUGCAUGAGACCAGCCCUUGAGAGCACACGGCAGAGAGGGUGUCAGAAAAGGCCAGUGGGCCAAAGCAUGGCAUGAAGCUGAGCAGAAGAGGGAGAGACAGCAAUGAGAGGGAAAGAGAGGAGGACACGCAAGAGACAAGAGUCUGGAAAUCCUGGAUCUGGUCAAGCAGAAGGUUACAACACAGAGGAAGAUGGUGCCCAAACCAGAGAAGGGAGAGUAAGCAGCACAGGCACCACGAGCCACCAGGAGCCAUCCACCCUCUCCACAGACCACAUGCACAUACCCCAACAUGUGGCAAGAUCUUCCGUGGUCUGUUAGUUUGCCUCUAAAGAGGGAGGAAACUUGCAAGUUACCUCAACCCCUAACCCCCCAAACCCAAGACAAGUCACUAACACAACCCCUCAAAAGGUGAGGGUUCAGCACCGCCUCCACAAUCCUAUUUCAAAUGCCACUGCUUCACAGCGCAUACACUGGUCUUCAACCACUGUAGAGCUUUAACUGCAGUCAAACAGGGUUGAGGUGCUCCCAGAUACCAUCCCUAGGACUCCUGAACCAAAACCACAAAACUAGCAGCCACACAGAUCCUCGUUAUUAUGGGUUAUUAUGUUUUAGAUCCUCUUACUCCAAAGGAUCAGAAGCCCCUCAACUCAAUAGGGAAUGCCGAAAAAAUAUCACAUCCCAUUUGUGGGCCUUUUAGCUAGGACCUAUCAAAAAGCUCAAGAGAAAAUGUAUGCUCUUUCUCAAAAAUGGCACUUGAGUAGUGUCAUAACAAGGUAUGAAUUCAUGCACUACAGAAAAAGGUAUUUUUAAAAAUAGUUGCUCUGUACACUGAGGAGUUAAUUGUUCUAAAGUGACUGAUUCCAAAUGGAGAUAUGCCCAUGCGCCCAUUCAUUUUCCACAUCGGUUACAAAGAAAAAGGCCAGAAUUUCAAUUUUCAAGCCGAUUUAUACAACCAUUUUAUAUAUUUAAUUGCAAAACAACAUCAUCUUAGAGAAGCUGAGAAAUUCAGAUGUCAAACUCAACAAAGAAUAACAAACAAAGGUAAAUUCCCAACUCAGAAAAUGCCAUCUGCUCUGCUUCACGUGCUCCUGUAAUUAAUGAAUCAAGGGAAAAAUGCUGCUAAAGGUGACUAUUACACACAAUUUUCUGAAUGAUGUUGAUAUAACUUUUGGAGAAAAGGACAAUUUUGGAAGUAAUAAAGAGGAGGAGAACUGAAAAAUGCAGAACCCACACAGUUGUUUUUCCUUCUUUACUCUUGAAUCAUAGUGAUUAGGUCUAAUUCCAGAAACAACAAAACUUGUCAAUUUAAAGAGAGUUUUGCAAGAAGUGUGGAGCAUAUGUAACACUAACACUGAAGUCACCAAGCAAUUUAAGUGACAUUCAGUGUAACAGAUAGAUGAUCUUGAGCCUUGCACAGAUGACCUAUGGCAACAGUGACAUUUUGUCACUGAAGAGAAAUAGGCAUUUGUGGGCUGUGAUUCAUCCUAUCCCAAAGCAGCUAUUCUAAGAGAUUCCAUCAUAUCCUAAAAGCAUCUGUGUUUUUCUACUGGUUACCUG